rnacentral:rRNA from 1 species
UACGUAGGGUGCGAGCGUUGUCCGGAAUUAUUGGGCGUAAAGAGCUCGUAGGCGGUGUGUCACGUCGGCCGUGAAAACCUGCCGCUUAACUGUGGGCGUGCGGUCGAUACGGGCAUCACUGGAGUUCGGCAGGGGAGACUGGAAUUCCUGGUGUAGCGGUGAAAUGCGCAGAUAUCAGGAGGAACACCGGUGGCGAAGGCGGGUCUCUGGGCCGAUACUGACGCUGAGGAGCGAAAGCGUGGGGAGCAAACAGG